rnacentral:rRNA from 1 species
UAAGGGAUAUUGGUCAAUGGGGGAAACCCUGAACCAGCAACGCCGCGUGAGGGAAGACGGUUUUCGGAUUGUAAACCUCUGUCCUCUGUGAAGAUGAUGACGGUAGCAGAGGAGGAAGCUCCGGCUAACUACGUGCA